rnacentral:rRNA from 1 species
AUGUACAUUCCUACAACAUUAAUGCAUGGGACCCCAUUAGAAAUAUGUAUCUAAGAACUCUUGGGAUAGAUUAGUAUUGGGAUGGGUGACCUCCCAAGAAUUACUAGUGUUUUACAUG